rnacentral:misc_RNA from 1 species
ACUUAGCCCUAGGCCACAUGAUUCCCCUUGUUGACAUGGCUAGACUGUUGGCACAACAUGGUGUUACAGUUACCAUAAUCACCACUCCCUUCAAUGCUGCUCGGUUCGAGAUGGUUAUUGAAAGAGCAGUGGAAUCCGGGUUUAAAAUCCAACUCCUAAAAGUUCCAUUCCCUUCUGAAGCGGUAGGCUUGCCUCCAGGGUGUGAAAGCAUGGACACCCUCCCUUCGCGUGACUUGUUCAAAAAUCUACUAAUUGGCAUUAAUAUGCUUCAAGCACCAGUGGAACAAAUGCUUAGUAAGUUGCUGCCUCCUCCAAGUUGCAUAAUUUC